rnacentral:rRNA from 1 species
AUUGAACGCUGGCGGCAGGCUUAACACAUGCAAGUCGAGCGGAGAGAGGUAGCUUGCUACUGAUCUUAGCGGCGGACGGGUGAGUAAUGCUUAGGAAUCUGCCUAUUAGUGGGGGACAACAUUUCGAAAGGAAUGCUAAUACCGCAUACGUCCUACGGGAGAAAGCAGGGGAUCUUCGGACCUUGCGCUAAUAGCUGAGCCUAAGUCGGAUUAGCUAGUUGGUGGGGUAAGGGCCUACCAAGGCGACGAUCUGUAGCGGGUCUGAGAGGAUGCUCCGCCACACUGGGACUGAGACACGCCCUGGACUCCUAUGGUAGGCAGCAGUGAUGAACAUUGGACAACGGGCGCAAGCCUGAUCCAGCCAUGCCUCGUGUGCGAAGAAGGCCUUAUGGUUGUAAAGCACUUUAAGCGAGGAGGAGGCUACUUUAGAUAAUACCUAGAGAUAGUGGACGUUACUCGCAGAAUAAGCACCGGCUAACUCUGUGCCAGCCGCCGCCGUAAGAC